AAAUUUAAAGGUUUCGGCGUACUUAAAGUAGUUGGUGUGCCGCCCGUAUUAGCUUAGGUGGGACGGGGGUAACCGGCCCAACCGAGGCUACGAGUCGGUAGGGGGUGUGAGAGCAUGACCCCCCCACAUGGGUACUGAGACACGGACCCAACUCCUACGGGAGGCAGCAGUAAGGAAUAUUGGACAAUGGACGGAAGUCUGAUCCAGCCAUGCCGCGUGCAGGAUGAAGGCGCUCAGCGUUGUAAACUGCUUUUGGAUGGGAAUAAUAACCUCGACGUGUCGGGGCUUGAAGGUACCAUCAGAAUAAGCACCGGCUAACUCCGUG
rnacentral:rRNA from 1 species